rnacentral:tRNA from 1 species
GCUCCCAUAGCCCAAUUGGCAGAGGCGGCAGACUUAAAAUCUGCACAGUGUCGGUUCGAGUCCGUCUGGGAGCACCA